rnacentral:rRNA from 1 species
ACACUCCUGCGGGAGGCAGCAGUGGGGAAUUUUGGACAAUGGGCGAAAGCCUGAUCCAGCAAUGCCGCGUGAGUGAAGAAGGCCUUCGGGUUGUAAAGCUCUUUUGUCAGGGAAGAAACGGUGAGAGCUAAUAUCUUUUGCUAAUGACGGUACCUGAAGAAUAAGCACCGGCUAACUACGUGCCAGCAGCCGCGGUAAUACGUAGGGUGCAAGCGUUAAUCGGAAUUACUGGGCGUAAAGCGUGCGCAGGCGGUUUUGUAAGUCUGAUGUGAAAUCCCCGGGCUCAACCUGGGAAUUGCAUUGGAGACUGCAAGGCUAGAAUCUGGCAGAGGGGGGUAGAAUUCCACGUGUAGCAGUGAAAUGCGUAGAUAUGUGGAGGAACACCGAUGGCGAAGGCAGCCCCCUGGGUCAAGAUUGACGCUCAUGCACGAAAGCGUGGGGAGCAAACAGGAUUAGAAACCCCAGUAGUCCCAUUAU